rnacentral:rRNA from 2 species
GGACUACCCGGGUAUCUAAUCCUGUUUGCUCCCCACGCUUUCGUGCCUGAUCGUCAGUUCUGGUCCAGGAAGUCGCUUUCGCCACUGAUGUUCCUUCUGAUAUCUACGCAUUUCACCGCUACACCAGAAAUUCCACUUCCCUCUGCCGAACUCUAGCUAUCCAGUAUCAAAUGCAAUUCCCAGGUUGAGCCCGGGGAUUUCACACCUGACUUAGAUAACCGACUACGCACGCUUUACGCCCAGUAAUUCCGAUUAACGCUUGCACCCUCUGUAUUACCGCGGCGGCUGGCAC